rnacentral:lncRNA from 1 species
UUUCUCAUAAGCAUGAUGUCAACUUAGGUUUUUCUAUAAACCUAAGAUAAAAUUGUAGCAGUUGUUCCUUUCACUUUUUUUCGAUAGAUGUUUAUUCUAAUCUUAAAUUUGUGUUAAUGAAGGUCCAUAAACUUUGAGAAAUAAGAACCUUCAGUCUCUCGUCGAUGACACCAACCCCUAAACUAUCAAACCCACACAUCAUUGGAAAUCCCUUCAUUCCCCUCUCCACAUCCCAACCAGCCACAACCUAAACUCCAUCAAAUGUCACCGGAAUAACCACCAAAAAUACCCCAACUCGCAAACUCAAAAGCUGUCGACAACUCCUCCUUCGAUCACACCCACCAUCGCGGACUAUCAUCGGUCGACUCCCACAAUCCAAGUGUUCAAUCUGAUGAUAACAUUUCAACAAAAAGGGGGACAACCAAUAGAUGCAGCUUUUGGGAUUUCGAAUCCCGAUCUUGCGUUGCUGCAAUUUUCCCAUUUACAAACUCACUUGGGGAAAAUCCAAUUCUCGGUAGCCAAGCAGCCACCAAUCCAAUUCCUGGUUGCCGAGAAGGUUGUGCCGACGGUGGGUGGCGAUGCUAGUGGUUGAUUUCGGCGUGGGGUGGGGCGGGCGGGCGUGGGGGGAGUGGAAAAAGGAGAGUGGGUAGGGUUGUGAGAAGCAGACAGCAGUUUUUUAUUUCUUUUAUUUCUUUUCUUUCUUUUUGGUUUUUUAUUUUUUGAUUUUAUUUGUUUAAUGUGAUAAUUUUAAAGUUACCAUUUUAUCCAUUUCAAUUAAGUUAAAAUCAAUCAAAGUCCACUUUUGUGUUAGUCAGUUAACGGUCCAAUACAUCUAUUUGGACUCCAAGUGCUUAUUUCUCAAAGGUUAGGAAUGUUCAUUGACACAAAUUAAAUGUUAAAGUAAAGUUUACAAAAAGUGAAAGAUUAGGAACCGUUGCUACAAUUUUUCCCAAACCUAAAAUAAUGCUUUGUAACUCUAUUGAAUAUAGAAAUAUAAUUCACUUUCCCUGUUUCGUUGUAUCAAAGCCAAAUUAGAUAUCUAAUUUUAUUCUCCUAAUGCUUUGUUUUGCUGAUUAUUGAGAAUUUUAAUCUUCUACGAAAUCUUGCUUUGUUUGGUGGAAGGGGAGGAAGACGUGAUAGGUGGGAGGGAAAAAGAUUUUUUUUUUUUUUUAAAUUAAAAUUUUUUAAUUAUUUAUUUGAUACUCGUUUGUAUUCUUUUAAAAAAUUUAGGACUAUGACUGUAAUUAAUUCUUUAUUUUUUAAUUUUUUUUAUUUGAAGAGUAGGUUAUAUACGUCAUUUCACAUGUUUUUAUUCAGAAAAUGGAAGAAAGUGUUGUAUUUCACACUUGGAAAGAUCAUCUGGGAGAGUUUUCCACAAUAUGAAAGGAUAGGAGAUAUUCCACUAGAAAGACAAACAUAAAGGGGAUUUUGCACCAAUUACCCAUCCUAGCAUCUUGUGGUUUAUUUUAGGCUUAUUGGUACACAAUCUCUUAUCAUUUGGACAUAUCGCUGAAUAUCGUCUCUAUCCUUUCAUAUUGGAUGAGAACACCCUUAUAUGACUUUUAAGGUGCGAUUCUCCGUUUACCGUUCAAUUCUGUUAGUUUAGGC